GACUCAGAGAGACGAGGAGUGAAGCUUCGCUUUUGUGCCUGGUUCAACUCGUGUUUGAGCACACAAACACAUCUUUUCAGCACUUUCUCAGACAGUUCAGGAGACAGACUUUGAGAAUGAAGAGGAGCCAACUAACCACACUGACCCAAUAGGACCUCCAGCUUCCACAGAAGACCGCUGUUGUUUCCAGCGUGGAGUAUGCUGUUUAUAUUG